rnacentral:rRNA from 1 species
CCUACGGGCGGCAGCAGUGGGGAAUAUUGCACAAUGGGGGAAACCCUGAUGCAGCAACGCCGCGUGAGUGAUGACGGCCUUCGGGUUGUAAAGCUCUGUCUUCAGGGACGAUAAUGACGGUACCUUAGGAGGAAGCCACGGCUAACUUCGUUCCAGCAGCCCCGGUAAUACGUAGGGGGCGAGCGUUUUCCGGAUUUACUGGGCGUAAAGGGAGCGUAGGCGGACUUUUAAGGGAGAUGUGAAAGACUCGGGCUCAACUUGGGUGCUUCAUUUGAAACUGGAAGUCUUGAGUGCAGGAGAGGAGAGUGGAAUUCGUAGUGUAGCGGUGAAAUGCGUAGAGAUUAGGAAGAACACCAGUGGCGAAGGCGAUUCUCUGGACUGUAACUGACGCUGAGGCUCGAAAGCGUGGGGAGCAAACAGGAUUAGAUACCCGGGUAGUC